rnacentral:rRNA from 1 species
UGCGCAGGCGGGCUUGUAAGUCAGUGGUGAAAUACUGCCGCUUAACGGUAGAACUGCCAUUGAUACUGCAAGUCUUGAAUAUGGUUGAGGUAGGCGGAAUGUGUCGUGUAGCGGUGAAAUGCAUAGAUAUGACACAGAACGCCGAUUGCGAAGGCAGCUUACUAAGCUAUUAUUGACGCUGAGGCACGAAAGCGUGGGGAGCGAACAGGAUUAGAUACCCUGGUAGUCC